UGUGGAAUCACUACCUCACUGCUCUCCAACCAUAGAACAAAGUCCAGUAGGUCACAUGUACAACUGAAAGGAUUAUUCUCCAGUUUGUUUAUGCACAGGUGCACGGUGAGCAGAGGGUCACUAACCACUUGCAUGUCCGAUGGAACUCUGGAGAGGAAGUCCAGCAGUUCGUUGUUAUCAAUGAGGAGGCCACCUCAUCUAGGACUGUCUGGACACUGAUGCAGAUAUCUUGAAUGGCAUACAGCUUGUCCAGUAAGCCCUUUUUAUCACAGUGGCAUUCAGUUAAACAAUCAUUUAGAAUAUUAUGUUCUCCAAAAUGAAAUUAAAUCUUAAUUAAUAAACAAUAUAUAGUCCACUUAUCUCUCUACCAAUUCUUUUGACCAAGUGCCAUUUUAUGAAAGAAAUGUAACUGUAUUAGUUUAAUUUGACAAUCAAGAUGAAAAAAAAACAAUAGCUUUCAGAAAAAAUGUAAAACAACAGACUAGACCUGGUCUUUCUAAGUGACAUAGGUCCAACAGAAACCUGCAGAAAUCCAAAAUAAAAAGAAAAUGACGGAGACAAUGAGCGGCAAAGAAAGUGAGAUGUGAUUAUAAACAUCCUGUUGGGAUGUUUCCAAUCACCCCACCAGUGGGGUGGUUCCCUGUGUGAGCUCUCAUGCCUCUUCUGGGAAGGAGUCAUAUGCUCUGAUAUAUUACACAAUAGCACCACAUCUCUGGCAGCAGCAGUAAUGUCAAUUUUAUCUCAUAGGUUUAAUCAAGUGCAAUGUUUCUCAAAAUACAAGAUUAGUCAAGAGAACAGAGUUUGAACAAUGUGCAUCCGAGGAAGUUCUUGCUUAUAUCUUCUACCACUGAAUUAAGUAAAACUGUAGUUCUUUUAAAUGCACAGCUCAAAUUUAAGGUUGAUUUUCUUAGCCAUAUAAGCACUGUGCUGGCUGGUUGUGGUCAUAGGGAAUGCUGUGACAUAUUGCCUGGUUUGACCUUUUGCCUUUAUCUAUGAUGACAGCAAUGGAGAAAAUGAGGGCAAAGGAAUGAGGUUAUGUUAUUCUUCCCCCCGGCAACAAGUGAAUCGUCCCCUAUAUAUUAACAGGGGCAAUUUAUGGAGGCUAAGAGAGUGAUAUCUACCCUUGGCCCAUUUUCCUAACCAGCCAGCAGUUUAAGUACAAACACAUGCCAGGACUAACUCAGUGACUGUGUGGACUCCCAGUUAAUCAGAAACAGGUGCUUGUGUCAUUCAGGCCAAAACAGUCCCAUUAGCCCCAAGGGCCAAAGGCUUACCAGCUAAUGGCUGCCUUGUGGUAGACAAAGGGUUACUGGAAUUAGGAUGCAACAGCUGGGGUUAAACAUCUGAGAUACGUUGAGCAUAGCAUAAUCCACAGGUGCAAUUAAAAGAUAGCACUGACAGAUAUAUUAUGGGAUGUUUUGUUCCUUUUGGCACUUCCUUGGAGCCAGCUGCUGAGUAAAAAUGAAAUGAUAACGAUGUAGGCUGAACAAGGUGUCCUUUUGAUCAGCAUUAAGUAUAUUGCUGUAUUAUACAGUAUAAUAUCCAUGAAAGAUAAACUACAAU